UACAGAGGUCCCGAGCGUUGUUCGGAUUCACUGGGCUUAAAGGGCGCGUAGGCGGGUGCUCAAGUCCGUGGUGAAAUCCUCCGGCUCAACCGGAGAACUGCCUCGGAUACUGGGCGUCUCGAGUGUGGUAGGGGUAUGCGGAACUAUCGGUGGAGCGGUGAAAUGCGUUGAUAUCGAUAGGAACUCCGGUGGCGAAGGCGGCAUACUGGACCACCACUGACGCUGAUGCGCGAAAGCCAGGGGAGCGAACGGG
rnacentral:rRNA from 1 species